rnacentral:tRNA from 1 species
UGGGGCGUAGUAUAAUGGUAGUACACCUGGUUUUGGUCCAGGCAGUUGGGGUUCGAAUCCCUGCGCCCCAGCAA